UACGGAGGGUGCGAGCGUUAAUCGGAAUAACUGGGCGUAAAGGGCACGCAGGCGGGUUGUUAAGUCAGAUGUGAAAUGCCAGGGCUUAACCUGGGAAUAGCAUUUCAGACUGGGAGUCUAGAGUACAUUAGGGAGGGGUGGAAUUCCACGUGUAGCGGUGAAAUGCGUAGAGAUGUGGAGGAAUACCGAUGGCGAAGGCAGC
rnacentral:rRNA from 1 species